UACAGAGGUCUCAAGCGUUGUGCGGAUUCAUUGGGCGUAAAGGGCGCGUAGGCGGCGCGGUAAGUCGGGUGGGAAAUCUCGGAGCUUAACUCCGAAACUGCAUUCGAUACUGCCGUGCUUGAGGACUGGAGAGGAGACUGGAAUUUACGGUGUAGCGGUGAAAUGCGUAGAUAUCGUAAGGAAGACCAGUGGCGAAGGCGAGUCCCUGGACGACUCCUGACACUGAGGCACGAAAGCUAGGGGAGCAAACAGG
rnacentral:rRNA from 1 species